CACGUAGGAGGCGAACGUUAUCCGGAUUUACUGGGCGUAAAGCGCGUGUAGGUGGUUUGGUAAGUAGGGCGUGAAAGCUCCUGGCUCAACUGGGAGAGGCCGUUCUAAACUGCCGAACUAGAGGAUGGUAGAGGGAGGUGGAAUUCCGGGUGUAGCGGUGGAAUGCGCAGAUAUCCGGAGGAACACCAGUGGCGAAAGCGGCCUCCUGGACCAUUCCUGACACUCAGACGCGAAAGCUAGGGUAGCAAAC
rnacentral:rRNA from 1 species